AUGGGUUCCAGCUGGGGAUCUUGAAGAUAUUUCUGCCACAGAGGCCCCUGAGGUUUAUACAGCUGCGUGGGAACUUUUAAAGGGUGCUGAUGGUGUUCUAGUUCCAGGAGGUUUUGGUGAUAGGGGAGUCCAAGGGAAAAUUCUAGCGGCCAAAUAUGCUCGAGAGAAUGGGAUUCCCUUUCUGGGCAUAUGCCUGGGGAUGCAAAUUGCGGUAAUUGAAUUUGCCAGAUCUGUUCUUGGUAUACAUGAUGCUAACAGCACAGAG
rnacentral:misc_RNA from 1 species